GUGGGUAACCUACCCUGUACACACGGAUAACAUACCGAAAGGUAUGCUAAUACGGGAUAAUAUAUUUGAGAGGCAUCUCUUGAAUAUCAAAGGUGAGCCAGUACAGGAUGGACCCGCGUCUGAUUAGUUAGUUGGUAAGGUAACGGCUUACCAAGGCGACGAUCAGUAGCCGACCUGAGAGGGGGAUCGGCCACAUUGGAACUGAGACA
rnacentral:rRNA from 1 species